CAGAGGGCGGCCAGGGGCCAGGACCCCGGCGCGCCGCAAGCCGCUGCUCUGGCGGCGCACCCACCCGCCGCGCCCGCAACUCUGCAAACAAAACCUUGGCGCCUUUCCUCCUCCCCUUACAGAAAGGGUGGAAGUUUCCAGGCUGUUGGGCCUUGGAGCCGCGCUGCUCCCUCCCUGCAAGGCACCGGGGUACUGCUGCGGGCACCCAGGCCAGGGCAGCACCCGCACAACCCCCACACAGGGGGUCUCACUGCCUGAGGUGCCAGCUCUGAGCAGGGCCCAAACUAGCCAAGGUUCUAGCGUCAUCGAUUUAAAAACAGGUUGUUAAGACCCAGAUUUCCACCUGGAGUCAGCAUCCAGAAUCACAAGAACAGGAAUCUCUUUAAUAUCAACCAGUUAUGUUCCAAAUCCACAAUGAUCUUC